rnacentral:tRNA from 1 species
GCCCAGAUAGCUCAGUUGGUAGAGCAAAGGACUGAAAAUCCUUGUGUCGCUGGUUCGAUUCCUGCUCUGGGCA